GACGAACGCUGGCGGCGUGCUUAACACAUGCAAGUCGAACGGGUCUGCCCUGUUUUUUGCGGGGUGGGUCAGUGGCGAACGGGUGAGUAACCCGUGAGUAACCUGCCCCUCACUUCUGGAUAACCGCUUGAAAGGGUGGCUAAUACGGGGUGUUCUGGCUGUGCCGCAUGGUGUGGCUGGGAAAGAUUCACUUUUGUGGUGUUUUGGUGGGGGAUGGGCUCGCGGCCUAUCAGCUUGUUGGUGGGGUGAUGGCCUGCCAAGGCUUUGACGGGUAGCCGGCCUGAGAGGGUUGGCGGUCACACUGGGACUGAGAUACGGCCCAGACUGCUGCGGGAGGCAGCAGUGGGGGGUAGUGCACAAUGGGCGGAAGCCUGAUGCAGCGACGUCGCGUGAGGGAUGGAGGCCUUCGGGUUGUGAACCUCUUUCGCCGGUGAAGAAGGUCCUGCUCUUUGUGGUGGGGUUGACGGUAGCCGGGUUAUGAAGCGCCGGCUAACUACGUG
rnacentral:rRNA from 1 species